AGCAUUUCCAUGCAAUUUAGGUGAUUGAAAAAGGAGACCUGACGGAUGAACAUGCAACCUGUUAAUCAGUGCUUUCAAACAGAUGGAGACAUGAUUAAUACAGCAUGCCUCGUUGCUGCUUCACUGUACAAAUAGGAAACAUACAACAUGAGUAUUUAUUAGCCCACAUUCCUGAUGAUGAUUUGAUUUAUUUUGUUGCUGUUUAUUGGCCAGUGUCAUUUAUAAGGUCUAUUUUCAUCCAACAAUUCCGGAUGAUUGUUUCACAAAAAAAAUAUAUAUAUAUAUAUAAUUAUUAGUAUGAGUAAAGGAAAAUAAGAUCAUUGCGACAGGUGAAUUCACAAUAACAGGAGCAGCAACAUGCAUGUGUUUUAAAGUAGCCUUUGAGGCUGCAGUUGGGAGGUGUCGCUGGCCUGUGGGGGCUCAGACUGACCCGGACUGCUCUCUGUCUGGCUCUGGCAUGCAGUGUGGCUGCUCAAGCAUACCUCUCGGUUUGGGAGAAGGGGGAGAUGACACGGAUUCAUUACAUGCCCAAUCAGGCACUCAUAAAGGGGGCUUUUCACCGGGAGCACAAUGGGACACUCACACUAUCACAGGCUUCCGGAACGCUCCGGGCCCUGCAUGGGCAGAAUGGCCUGGCGGGGCUCGGGUGACAUUGAUGGAGGUGUGCCGGGAGAUAUCGCAUCGUUUCCACUGAACGGACUCGCGGGCUCAACCGGGGACAUCCCCGGACCAGAUGCGAAGCGCGCAACCUAAACGUUAGACUUUAAGGGACUUGUUUCAUGAAGGUUGUCCGAGCUGAGGUCUGCGAGAUGCGAUGUGUUUGUCCUGCUCUGUUUAGAGAGUCACGUAGAAAUCGCAACAGCAAGUCACAAACGGAUGUCGCAAAGCAUGUUCAUGUAGGCAUGUCGGCAAUCAUUCUCAGCCCCUGCCUUGUUUUGGUUUUGUAUCAAACCUUUGUGUUUGCUCAAAAUUAUAGCAAGAAACAUUAUGUUCGAGAAACUCGGAUUUGACCAGAUUUAGUGACCUCCUCUCGUUCCUAGAUUUUUCUCACACCCAGCAGCAGGAGGGAUUCGAGGAGGUGGCGACACGCCUUUUCCUGACUUCCCUGCACUCUUCCUGUCUUCCUGGGACUGAACUGCGUUUUAAUUUCUGCUGAUGAAGCCGUGUUUCUCGCUGCUGAGAGGUGUGGGAAGAUCUGGGACAAAAAGUUUGUCUGCUGCCAUUGCAUCUGAUCCUGAGCGAACGCUUCACACCAUUAUGGAAGAUCGUUGCCUUUUCUUUGUUUUAACCCAAGCUAAAUGCCCUUAUUUCAUUAAAUAAAUAAAUAAAUAAAUACAUGAAAGUGUGUGCAGUUCCUGGUUAAGCAGGCUUUAAUAUCUGUUAAGAUUUCUUGUUAAAAGAUAGAGCAUCUUGUUCCAUAGAACAUCUUUCAGCAUGUCUGUCAUGCCAUUUUCUGUGUGUGAUAAAGUGAUAAUGAAAUUUUUUUAAUUAAAAAGAAAAAAGUGAAUAAAAAAAACAGGAUACUGAGAAUAAACAUAAGGAGGACAUUAUAUGAGAAUUUUCACUGAUGUGCGUCUGUUUCGCUCCCUUGAAGAUUCGAUGUAGCUUUAUUAUUUUUUCACUAAUUUGCGUUUACUGUGUGAUAUUUUAAUCAGAAACAUGUUCCAUCUACUACAAACCAUGUCAAACAUGCUGUGGGAAAACCAUAGGCGAGCGCAAGACACACACAUCAAAUUAUCACUGGAGAAUGCUGAACUGUGUCGUUGUCUCAUCUCAUCCAAAGGAUGGCAUCUCUUACAGCACAGUAUCCCCAUCACUGCACUGGGGUUUAUUUGACCAGAUGGGAGAGUGCCCCCUACAGGCCCGACAACACCAUUUCCAGCAGCAGUUUAGUCUU